rnacentral:rRNA from 1 species
GAAUUUUGGACAAUGGGCGAACGCCUGAUCCAGCAAUGCCGCGUGCAGGAUGAAGGCCUUCGGGUUGUACACUGCUUUUGUACGGAAAGAACAGCUGUGGGCUAAUACCCUGGAGGCAUGACGGUCCCGUGAGAAUAAGCCCCGGCUCACAACCUGCCAGCGGCCGCGGUAAUACGUAGGGUGCAAGCGUUAAUCGGAAUUACUGGGCGUAAAGCGUGCGCAGGCGGUUGUGUAAGACAGAGGUGAAAUCCCCGGGCUCAACCUGGGAACUGCCUUUGUGACUGCAAGGCUAGAGUACGGCAGAGGGGGGUGGAAUUCCGCGUGUAGCAGUGAAAUGCGUAGAUAUGCGGAGGAACACCGAUGGCGAAGGCAACCCCCUGGGCCUGUACUGACGCUCAUGCACGAAAGCGUGGGGAGCAAAC